CAUCAGAUGACUGAAAGCAAGUAUUGGUCUCUUAAACCAUGAGAUAGUAAUGUAGCAAUUACUUCUGAUG
rnacentral:tRNA from 1 species